CCAGACUCCUACGGGAGGCAGCAGUGAGGAAUAUUGGUCAAUGGCCGGAAGGCUGAACCAGCCAAGCCGCGUGAAGGACGAAGGUGCCAAGCAUUGUAAACUUCUUUUGUCAAGGGACAAAAUCAGGCUCGAGAGCCUGACCGAGGGUACUUGAAGAAAAAGCAUCGGCUAACUCCGUGCCAGCAGCCGCGGUAAUACGGAGGAUGCGAGCGUUAUCCGGAUUUAUUGGGUUUAAAGGGUGCGUAGGCGGAAUUGUAAGGCGGGUGGUAAAGGCCGGGGGCCAACCCCGGGAGUGCUGUUGAAACGGUGUGUCUGGAGAUGUCGAGAGGUAUGCGGAAUGCGCGGUGUAGCGGUGAAAUGCGUAGAUAUUGGGAGGAACACCGGCGGCGAAGGCGGCAUGCCGG
rnacentral:rRNA from 1 species